rnacentral:miRNA from 1 species
UCGGGCCACCUUCUCCCCGCUGGGGAGAAGGGGACGAGCCGCGACGCCUGUUUCCCCCUUCUCCCCUCGGGGAGAAGGUGCCCGAA